rnacentral:tRNA from 1 species
GUUUGUGGCUCAGUGGUGGAAUGCUUGCCUAGCAUGCAUGAGGCACUGGGUUCGAUCCCCAGCCCGACA